UUUUUCUUAAUUUUUAAUCUGCUUGAUCAAAAUGUUUUAGGUAUACUAUUAAUGGAAUAUAGCAUUGUCUUAAGGGUUUAUGUGGUUCCUGUUUAUCAUAGUGGAUGACCUUUUCUGUGAUGCUCACGCUUUGUAAUUCAUUAGAAAACCCUUCCUACUUUCCUACACAUAUUCAGCAGCCUACUUAACCUACAUUUCUUCUUUUUUGUUUUUGAGACAGGCUCUUACCACAUAUACGGAGUAGGCCCGGAACAUGAUUAGUAGACCAGGUUGGCCUUGAACCCAUAGAGAUAUGCUUGUCUCUGUUUGGCUUCUGACUGCUGGAAGUAAAGGCGUGUGCUACUAGGCCAGGCUGCUGCUUUUCAUUUGUGCCAUAUAUAUUGAAGGCACGAGGCUCCCACCUUGGAAGAUGUUACUUUGUCAGAUAAUUUUAGGGUCUGUAUUAGUCCUGUUUGUCUUAUUUGUAGACCAAACAGGAACUAGUUUAUCAAGAUUGUUUAGCAGAUAUAACUGAAUUGUAUCUAGAGUUAAUAUUUACUUAAUAAGUUAAUAUUGUCCACAGAAUUUUUUACUUUGACUUUCUUAGGUUCCUACAAGGGGUCUCUAAAAUGUCUCUCAAACUAACUCGAGAUAAACAGACUUUUGUAGCUUGUAUUCAGUGCUAUACAAAGGGGUAGUAGACUUUAGCCCAUGACUGGAGCAGUGCAGGUUUCCUCUGAGAAAGGGCUAACCACCCAGACUCUACUGGGGCAAGUUUGCACAUGUCUUUGUGCAGCAUUGGGCCUGCUUCAGCUCGUUUGUUCUUUUCCAUCUUGCCCUGAAUUAGAUGCUACAUAUCACAUGAUUUAUGAGAUACUCUUGUUGUUUAAAAACAAAACAAAAUAAAUAAUGCUUGGAGAUGUGCUUUUGGAAACUGUUUUGGCACGCCCACCUAAUUUAUUUGUAUCAAUCCCCGCUUUAUAUUAAACGGCAACAAAAAAGCACAGAAAAUUUAGCACUUUAAUAAUUUUGACAUUAUUGUACAGCUCUUAAGUAUUUUCAAGACAGCACUACUCUCGUCUUAGAUGUUUAUGUUGUUCAUUAAUGAAGUAAAAGUAACAUUGCUUGACCACUAAUUGACAAACCCAAGCAACUCCAAAGAAUUGCGUUUUUCUCAAAGUGAAAAAUGCCGGGAAAUCACCAAAUUGGUGAUGAGUCAGACAACCUAAUAGCAGUGCUUGGCGGCUGAGCUGGUGUGGCCAGUGUGGUAGUGUAGGAGUGUGUAGCUCGGUAGUAUUCCAGUAUUCUUCACCUGUUUCUCUCUUUAAUCUGGCAUACUUGAAUGAUGAUGGUGUAAAGGUAAAAGUUGGUACUUGGUCUAGUGAGACGCCCCAGUAGACGCCCCAGUAGAGGAAGAUAGCAUUGAGAUUUACCCAGAUGGAUAUUUAGAUUGUGUCUGCCGUGUGCAGAGCCUGCAUCAGAAUUCCUGUUAGGUUGACUUUUGAGUGAGACUACCACUUGCUUUUCUGGAUACCUUGAAGAGUUCAUUUAAUGAUUUGGUUUUUCCUUUCAUUCAAAGUGUCAUUUCUUGACUAGAUAUAAGAUGUAUUUGGAGACGAUGUGAUUUUUUUUGUAGUUAUUAUAUAUAUAGAAAUACUAUUUCCGUUUAUUGUUCUAUAAAGUGCCUUUUUAAAUUUUACCCUUACGUUUAAGACCUAGCCUUUGAUGUGGUAUUUAUGUAACGUUUGUACAGUGAUUUACUCUUAGUUUGUUACCUUUAUCACCUGUACAAUUGCACUAUUUAAAUGUACUCCUUCUUAAUGCUAACUUGUUUUCUUUAUAACACUGUUACUAAUUUCAGAAGGUUAUAAAAUAAAUUUCCCUCUUAUCAUCACAGAAGUUCUUUUUAGGUUUUAGUAGUUGGUUCUGUUUUUUAGACAUAAAAGUAGCUCUUUUUUUCUUUGCAUGUUUGAGAUUUUUCUGACUGAGUCAUCUGUCUCGUAUCUAACCUUGUUCAUAGCCAUAGCAACACUACUUCUAUCUGCUAAAUGGAUGUUUCCUGGGACAGUAGAAGCGAGGACAUUAAAACACUGAAGUUGGUGGCACUAUAGAUUUAUAAAUAGUAGUCUGUGGCAGCUUCCUUACCAGUAUAAUUACUUUUGUUUUCCUUUUUAAACUGGCAGCUUCUUUAUCAGUAUAAUUGCAUUUAUUUACUUAGCCUUCAAAAUGCCAUUUUGAGGGCAGCAUAUACUCUUUCAGGCUACUUUACUGCAUUAUACCUAAGUGACCUGAUUGUAGUGUCCUUAAGGGCCUGAUACAUCCAGGAUAUAUACCUCUCAGGUAUUGUAAGCAAGGAUGUUGAAAAGACAGAGUCCAGAAUUCCCUCUCUCUAUAGGAUUGGAGACCGAUAAGGUUGAACAUAGAGGUUAGCAGCACAUUCAUUGUUCUUGAAGUUAAUUGGGAUUCUGCUGAAGGCUUGAAAUUAUGUGUUAGAUCUCUUUAGAAGUAGAAGAUUGCAAUAACAAAAACCUUUUUCUUUAAUGUGAGGCAUAUUUUGCCCCAGUCUUGCACUGUCUAGUUCCUGUUUUUUGAAAUUUACCCUUAUGUACUUAAUGUUGGUGGCUAGACUAAUACCUAAUUGUCACUGUGGGUAUAUCUUAUGCAUGUCAUUCAAUUGGUCAGAUUGGUUCUGUAUGGUUUUUAGUGGGCAUACAAACUAGUUAGUUCUUUUCACUUAAAUUUUAAAGGAGGAAGUUACCAAUAAGUAAAUGUUGAUUACUGUAUUGAAUGCAAACCUUUCUUUUCAUAUCUAACAAGUUUUAUAAACCAUUAAAGUGUAUGGAGUUUCCCUUCCUGAAUGAUUUUUGAGAAUGCUGUUUUAUUAAAUCCUUUUUCUCU
rnacentral:lncRNA from 1 species